rnacentral:ncRNA from 1 species
ACAUUUAAUUCUACACUUUUGUACCCAAGUGUAGAGGUCGGUCAGGCUUGCUUGGAACUUCUGAACAUUUAGAUUGAUUUAUGAGUGAUAGCUUAUAGAGAAGUCUAUCAUGGUGUAGUAAUACAUUAUGAGAAGAACGUGUUGUUCAACAAUAAGGGAGUGUGCAAAGGGUAAGUAGGUUAUAAGGUAGAAUCAUCGCCUCGCUCAUACAAUAGACGCCUCGGUGAGGAAUAAUCCAGAAAUCCCUUUAGUUGGUGACUGUGGGGCAAAUCGGGAAAUGCCAAUAAGUGAGUAUCGCGUAUAAUCCAGAGAGAAAUCUUUGGGUAAGAGGUCAGGUUCGUAAGAGUAGCAGAACGCGAGAGCAUUUUAGAAAAAUGAACUUGUUUGAAGAGUUUGGUUUCAUAUGCGAAUGGUCUGUGAAAUUUGGGAGUAAAAAGAAUCUCUCAUACACACGGCACAAAGUGUGGGCUGUAAUGGUUAUCGAAGACGUUUGAUAGCUUCGCUUACAGUUCUGUAGUGACUGAAUAAUAAUUGAUUAUCCAAUGUAGGGUGAAAGUCCACAAAAGUGUAGAAUUAAGU